AACGAACGCUGGCGGCGUGCCUAACACAUGCAAGUCGAACGAGAAUCCGGGCUUCGGCCCGGUAGUAAAGUGGCGCACGGGUGAGUAACACGUGGGUAACGUACACCGUAGUGGGGGAUAACCAGGUGAAAGCUUGGCUAAUACCGCAUGAGUCGGUCGGUUCGCGAGGACUGACCGGGAAAGUGGAGCAAUCCACGCUACGGGAUCGGCCCGCGGCCCAUUAGCUAGUUGGCGGGGUAAAGGCCCACCAAGGCGACGAUGGGUAGCUGGUCUGAGAGGAUGAUCAGCCACACUGGAACUGAGACACGGUCCAGACUCCUACGGGAGGCAGCAGUGGGGAAUUUUUGGCGCAAUGGGCGAAAGCCUGACGCAGCAACGCCGCGUGUGUGACGAAGGCCCCUAGGGUUUGUUAAAAGGCACUGUGGGAAGGGAAGAAAAAAUCGGGGGUUGUACCCCGUCUUGACGGUACCUUGUUAGAAAGCACCGGCUAACUCCGUGCCAGCAGCCGCGGUAAUACGGAGGGUGCAAGCGUUGUUCGGAAUUAUUGGGCGUAAAGGGCGUGUAGGUGGCACUCCAAGUCUGGUGUGAAAGCCCACGGCUCAACCGUGGAACUGCAUUGGAAAGCUGGGGAGCUCGAGUAUUGGAGGGGGUCGCGGAAUUCCCGGUGUAGAGGUGAAAUUCCGUAGAUAUCGGGAGGAACAUCAGUGGCGAAGGCGGCGACCUGGCCAUUUACUGACACUGAGACGCGAAAA
rnacentral:rRNA from 1 species